GUACUGGUUUCGACAGGGAUUCUGAAGCUCGGGAAGCCAUUCGGAGAGACCACGUUACGGUGUAAACUUAAAUUAAACGCAGAUAAUAAAUUAGCGUACGCUGCAGCCUAAGGGCUUGCAGUAGUCUGUGACAGGUCAUCUACAGCCUGUUAUUAGGCUUCAAAUAAUGUAGAACCCUCGUCUGCUUAAGCUUUGCGGCAGAUGAAGUAUUUAUGAAGCUACUGAAGUGUUGAUCCUGUCUCUGGGAGCAGCAUGGAGGGAAUGUCAAUACAGAGACUGUAAUGGGAGAUGCCUGAGGGGAUGGGUUUUUGGACGCGGGUUCGAUUCCCGCCUAGUCCAU
rnacentral:tmRNA from 1 species